rnacentral:rRNA from 1 species
ACGAACGCUGGCGGCGUGGAUAAGACAUGCAAGUCGAACGGGAGAAUUGCUAGCUUGCUAAUAAUUCUCUAGUGGCGCACGGGUGAGUAACACGUGAGUAACCUGCCUCUUAGUGGGGGAUAGCCCUGGGAAACCGGGAUUAAUACCGCAUACGAUUGAAAGAUCAAAGCAGCAAUGCGCUAGGAGAUGGGCUCGCGGCCUAUUAGUUAGUUGGUGAGGUAACGGCUCACCAAGGCGAUGACGGGUAGCCGGUCUGAGAGGAUGUCCGGCCACACUGGAACUGAGACACGGUCCAGACACCUACGGGUGGCAGCAGUCGAGAAUCAUUCACAAUGGGGGCAACCCUGAUGGUGCGACGCCGCGUGGGGGAAUGAAGGUCUUCGGAUUGUAAACCCCUGUCAUGUGGGAGCAAAUUAAAAAGAUAGUACCACAAGAGGAAGAGACGGCUAACUCUGUGCCAGCAGCCGCGGUAAUACAGAGGUCUCAAGCGUUGUUCGGAAUCACUGGGCGUAAAACGUGCGUAGGCUGUUUCGUAAGUCGUGUGUGAAAGGCAGGGGCUCAACCCCUGGAUUGCACAUGAUACUGCGAGACUAGAGUAAUGGAGGGGGAACCGGAAUUCUCGGUGUAGCAGUGAAAUGCGUAGAUAUCGAGAGGAACACUCGUGGCGAAGGCGGGUUCCUGGACAUUAACUGACGCUGAGGCACGAAGGCCAGGGGAGCGAAAGGGAUUAGAUACCCCUGUAGUCCUGGCAGUAAACGGUGCACGCUUGGUGUGCGGGGAAUCGACCCCCUGCGUGCCGGAGCUAACGCGUUAAGCGUGCCGCCUGGGGAGUACGGUCGCAAGAUUAAAACUCAAAGAAAUUGACGGGGACCCGCACAAGCGGUGGAGUAUGUGGCUUAAUUCGAUGCAACGCGAAGAACCUUACCUGGGCUUGACAUGUAAUGAACAACAUGUGAAAGCAUGCGACUCUUCGGAGGCGUUACACAGGUGCUGCAUGGCCGUCGUCAGCUCGUGUCGUGAGAUGUUUGGUUAAGUCCAGCAACGAGCGCAACCCCUGUUGCCAGUUACCAGCACGUCAAGGUGGGGACUCUGGCGAGACUGCCCAGAUCAACUGGGAGGAAGGUGGGGACGACGUCAGGUCAGUAUGGCCCUUAUGCCCAGGGCUGCACACGUACUACAAUGCCCAGUACAGAGGGGGCCGAAGCCGCGAGGCGGAGGAAAUCCUGAAAACUGGGCCCAGUUCGGACUGUAGGCUGCAACCCGCCUACACGAAGCCGGAAUCGCUAGUAAUGGCGCAUCAGCUACGGCGCCGUGAAUACGUUCCCGGGUCUUGUACACACCGCCCGUCACAUCAUGGAAGCCGGUCGCACCCGAAGUAUCUGAAGCCAACCGCAAGGAGGCAGGGUCCUAAGGUGAGACUGGUAACUGGGAUG